rnacentral:rRNA from 1 species
GAGCGGUAACAGAUCCAGCUUGCUGGAUGCUGACGAGCGGCGGACGGGUGAGUAAUGCAUAGGAAUCUGCCCGAUAGUGGGGGAUAACCUGGGGAAACCCAGGCUAAUACCGCAUACGUCCUACGGGAGAAAGGGGGCUCCGGCUCCCGCUAUGGGAUGAGCCUAUGUCGGAUUAGCUAGUUGGUGAGGUAACGGCUCACCAAGGCCACGAUCCGUAGCUGGUCUGAGAGGAUGAUCAGCCACAUCGGGACUGAGACACGGCCCGAACUCCUACGGGAGGCAGCAGUGGGGAAUAUUGGACAAUGGGGGCAACCCUGAUCCAGCCAUGCCGCGUGUGUGAAGAAGGCCCUCGGGUUGUAAAGCACUUUCAGCGAGGAAGAACGCCUAGCGGUUAAUACCCGCUAGGAAAGACAUCACUCGCAGAAGAAGCACCGGCUAACUCCGUGCCAGCAGCCGCGGUAAUACGGAGGGUGCAAGCGUUAAUCGGAAUUACUGGGCGUAAAGCGCGCGUAGGUGGCUUGAUAAGCCGGUUGUGAAAGCCCCGGGCUCAACCUGGGAACGGCAUCCGGAACUGUCAAGCUAGAGUGCAGGAGAGGAAGGUAGAAUUCCCGGUGUAGCGGUGAAAUGCGUAGAGAUCGGGAGGAAUACCAGUGGCGAAGGCGGCCUUCUGGACUGACACUGACACUGAGGUGCGAAAGCGUGGGUAGCAAACAGGAUUAGAUACCCUGGUAGUCCACGCCGUAAACGAUGUCGACCAGCCGUUGGGUGCCUAGCGCACUUUGUGGCGAAGUUAACGCGAU